AAACCAGCACCUCAAGUGGUCAGGAUGAUUAUUGGGCCUAAAGCAUCCGUAGCCGGCUCUGUAAGUUUUCGGUUAAAUCUGUACGCUCAACGUACAGGCUGCCGGGAAUACUGCAGAGCUAGGGAGUGGGAGAGGUAGACGGUACUCGGGAGGAAGGGGUAAAAUCCUUUGAUCUCUCGAUGACCACCUGUGGCGAAGGCGGUCUACCAGAACACGUCCGACGGUGAGGGAUGAAAGCUGGGGGAGCAAACCGGAUUAGAUACCCGUGUAGUCC
rnacentral:rRNA from 1 species